AUGCUCACUUCCACAGCACAUAAUUUAAAAUGGGAUUGAUAUAGAAAAGAUUAUCAUUGUUCCCAAGACAAGAUGACAUGCAGAUUUGCAAAGUAUUUUAUAUAUUU
ensembl:snRNA U6 U6 spliceosomal RNA